GCCGCUGUGGCGAAAUUGGUAUACGCACAUGACUCAAAAUCAUGCGGGAAACCAUGCCGGUUCGAGUCCGGCCAGCGGCA
rnacentral:tRNA from 1 species